GCUUUGGCAACAACCGUAGGAGGUGUGAUGUACAUGCACUCAUUUCAAGGGGGUGCAACACUUCUCAGUUUGGGCCUCAUAUUUCUCCUAUAUACCAUGUUCGUAUGUGGCGCGAUGUUCUACGUGAAUCCACGUUCGAAGGACAUCAUACCAAAGUCGUACAAUUAGGACCUCGAUAUGGUUUAUUUCUGUUUAUCGUAUCGGAGGUUAUGUUCUUUUUGCUCUUUUCUCGAAGCUUCUUCUCAUUCUUCUUUCACCUCGGUAGAGAUCGAGGUAUUGCCCCCAAAAGGGUUGCGGUUUUAGAUCCUUGGGAGUCCCCUUUCCCCGUCCCUUAUCCCCUUUCAUCCGGAAGCCGUCAUCCUGGAUUCAUCUUUCCGUAUGCCGGGGAAAGUACCUCACCCCCACCUUUCUACAUUUAUUAUUAUAUAGAAUUUCCUCGGGUCUCUAUAAAACAGAAUGAAAAGCCCGGGUGGAAGCACAAACAAAAGGAGAGAGAAAAAGUCGAAAAGAAAGGGGGGAAGAAGUCUAGUGCUAGUUCUACUAACUUCUUUUUCUAACUUUCAUUUUUGAGUGCUUUCUUUGUUCUCUUAUUUGGAUUGAAAGAAAGAAAAAACUUCCCUUUCUUUCUCUUCUUUAUUUUGGUUUUAUCCCUUCGACGAAUUUCGGCUAUGACCAAUGCCCCACUAGCUAAAUAGGCGUAAGAAAAAGCUACCUGAAAAAAAAGCAAGGUGCACCUUGAAUUGAACUCGACGAAUUGCGUUUUGCCAGAGAGAUUUUUUUAGAAAGAUUCUCCUAAUUCAAAAAUAGAAAGAAUAUAAAUAAAGGCGCAUACGCGGGAAGGGGCCCCCCUCUUUCUUAGAAUUCAACAUUUAUGAUAUGUUUUGCAUCUUGUUCGCCCACUCUUCAUUCAGGGUGAUUCGAACCAGGGGAGGAUCUUCCACCUUUAAGGUCAUAGCACCAGUACUUGAACGCUUACUCUUACUGCUCUUCUCAGGUUCACCUCUUUUGGAUGCCCUGAGGUUUGAAGUCAUUUGUUUAUCACAGAACAAGUCCCCCUCAGUCACUGCCAUAGUUGACCCUCUCUUCCAGAUCCUCGCUUCUAUGAGCCAAAUCACUCUCCUCGGGAGUUCUCUCCUUGACUACACCCUCCUCGGCUUUGUUACCCAAACACUCAUCCUGAGCAAUCUCUUCCGGUUCAGCAGUGUCCAGAUCUGGCAUCUUUGCCUCUUCUUGUUCAGGGUCCUCUAGAACCGCAAAACGGUUCGGGCUGACUAGGUCCAGUUGGGUCAUUCCACUCGCACAACUAGUGUCCAGCCCCCCUUUACUAUUGUAACUACUGGUACCUGACCCCGUCGGCUCGACAUUUUUGCAAGCACCGACCCUGACUCAAUAGGGCAAUUCAAAGAGGAGAACGAGGACAGCUGACUACCGCUAAAAGUCAGACUAAGAACAUUGUAUGAUUGAAAACUGCCGCUGCAUACUACCCGGUGCUUGCAGGUCUGACUGGUGCCUUCUCUCCAACAGCUGCUUCAAUCAAUGUUAAGUCUGACUACGCCCGCAGCUGACUACUUAUUGAAAGACCGAACAGGAAAUGAAAAGUCGUACUACAACAACUGUAAAUAAACAUUCCCUCCCCGCUCUGACUUUGAUCGACUUGCCCGCACAGCGUCUUUUUUGAGAAAAGAGGUCAAGGGGCUAAGUGACUCUCGAAAGUCGUCUUUUGUAUCGCGUCAAGAGAAAUGACAUAGAUAAGAUCAUUGCUUAAAGAGUUUCAUUGUCGAAUUGAUCUCGAAAUUGGAUCCCAAUAGUAGCUGCUGCCCAAAGGUGCUUUAUGAAAGCCGGUCCACAGCAGUGAAAGUACGAUUGAUUCCGUCGAUCGAACGAAAACCGCUUCUUGCUUUUUUGGCUUGACUACUCUGCUUGCUUAACACAAGUCUUAUUUAACCUUCACGGACCACUUCACUACCCAGCAAGCUCCGGCUCGAAAGCAAGAAGCAAGGGCGCAGCUGCUGCGCGAACGCCGUUGCGCCUUAGCGCAUCCCCUUUCUUGCUCGUUAGCGCUGUUUUUUGAUUGCAGCUAGCGCGCUUGACUAAUAAGAUAGAAAGGGCCUUUCUCGCUUGUUUGAAGCCAUAUAAGGCUUUCCUCAAUCGGCAAACAAGGGGGAAGUCUGCCACACCAACCCUUUAAGAGAUAGGGACUCCAGCGCAGCGGUAAGAAAAAGUCACUCAGUGAAUCGGUGGAUCACACUUGGAGACAGGGACAGGGGCAUGCCUGACUCUUUAGAAAGUAUACAAGUGUUGAAAGAGUGAAGUCUGGGGACAACGGUAAACGUGAGGAAUGGCACCUCCGCCCUACUAAAGAAGUUCGCAAGCAAGGGACAUGCCGAACACCUACCUUUCCAACUAAGUCCAAGGCGAGGACCUUUUAAUUGACGAUGCGUUCCGUCGUCAGCAAGCGGUGGCCGACAAGGCCCCUUUCCUUAGAGUCAAGUGGCUGAACGCCCCUUUCCCUAAAUAUCUUGGGAAGCGAAGAGGACAGGUUUGAAACUCAUUCGGUAAUCUUCUCCUGAAGGUAGGCAUUUCCCCAAGGCACUGAUAUGAUGACUCUCUCAAUUACACGUGUUUUAGGGAGUUGAACGUCUUAUUCUUAUGAGUGGCCUAUGUGAAUAUAAGCCAGGAGCAAGGAUUCCGGAAAGUCAAAUUCUAUAUUGCAAGUGCAAGUCGACGUUCCUGAUAUGAAAGUGAAAGCCGGCCCUAAGCAGGAUCCAAAGACGUUUAAGUCCAGUUCCAAUCUGGAUAUAAAAGUAAAGUUCAAUCGUCGAAAGUGAGAUCUCUUUUAGUCCGGUCUUCUUUUCUCUUUUGAGUCAGGUUCUUAAGACAGGAAAUCGGGUUUUCUGAAUAUCUCUCUUCCGGCCGCCGGCCUGGCCUAUUAAGUAAGUUAGUUAGAGAUCGAAACUGGACCUGAGAGAGACUAGACUUCUAGUAAGAGUAGGUGCGCCUUAAGUUGAGGAGAGCUGUUCACAAGCAGUGGUUAUGAGCUCUUUCUUGUUCCGGUUCAGAAGAGGCUGCGCACCUUCAGUUGCACUAGUGGAUUGAAUAACCUUUUUUUUGAGUGCCAACAAAGUGCAUGUGUUCUUGGUUAAUAAAAACACAAGUAUAGGCUGGAGGACUGAUACUAUAAGUAGGACAAAGGCCUUCAAAGAGAAAUGAAAGGAUUUUUUGAGCAUUUUUCCACUUAUCCAAGGAAUCCCUUUCUUGACAUUUGUAUUUGAGAGAGAGAGCUAUGCUUAGGUCAGUUCCUUCAGUCAACUUUUUUGGUAAGCCAAAAGUGAACUUUAGGUAAGUAAGUAGUCCCGUAUGAAAUUCAGAAAACAUUCAUAUCUGGCACUUGAGGAGGUCAAUCUUAAGUGUUGGAAGCUACUGCUAAGGGACUCCCCCUCAUCUAGAAAGGAUAGGCAAUUGAGAGAGAAUAGGGCGAUAGCGACAGACACAGGAACUGAAAUAGAUUUAAAGAUUACUUCCGUAGAGGAGAGGGGAAGGCUGCUUAGAUAGGGCGAUAGCCCGGUUUUUAUUGUUUAUCCUUUCCUGCGCUUGUCUUGUAUUGAGGUAUACCGAAGAGAUUCGUAAAAGUAGGUAACAGAAGGGGAGGGAUUGCUGUUUUUUAUUAGUGAGGACAAGCCGCUUUCAUUUUCAACAAUCUAAUGCCACACCAACCCUUUAAAGAGUAGGCGGUUCGUAUCUUUCUAUGACCCCCAAGAAGUAGGAGGAUAGGCAGAGCAAGAGCUCUUGAAGUCUACCCGGGCGCGCUUCUUCAUUCAUCCAUUUAGGCCCGGCUAGGAACACGUGGAUCCAGGGAACCUGGCUCGGGAACAGCUUCUUACUAGUAGGAGCUAAUCACAGUAAGAGAGUCCAAUCUCUGAAAUAGAGCUUAGUCUCUCCAUAGUAGUCUACUAGUAGAAGGCUUAGGUUAUGACUUGAUCCAAUAGAGUCAGAACACCCUUCUAUCUAAAAGAAAUGGUGCUCGAUGAAAGGAUCCAGAUUCCACACUAUGCUGUGGGCUGGGGAGAGAGCUGCUCUGCGAAGCUGGGCGUUCAGUGUUCUUAUGGAGGAAGCAUACUAGAAAGAGAAUUGAAAGGGCCUUCAAAAAAGAGCGAGGGGGUGAUGGGCAACCUUAGUCUAUAUGUUGCUCGUGAGCCGCCAAGUACCAGUCUCGCAACAGUAUUGGCGCAAAAAAAAGGAUCGGUCCUUCACUUGCUGAUCGUUCGCGAGUCGAACUCGCUCUCUUGCCACGCCUUUCACUCACUCGCUUGAGUCGGACUCAAUCACUCUUUGAGUUUGGAGGAUCAUUCGUUAUUCACUCUCUUGCUAUUACCCGCAGGGAGCGCAGCAACCAAGAUGCAUAUUAUCAUAUAGAAAGAGGCGAAGCGUAGCGAUUCGUACUACCGGAAAAGUUUCGCUAACCGGCAGGCAAUAGAAUCAGCCGAUAGGCGCAGGCAAGCGUAGCGAAUCACAUAGAUAAGCCCCUACCUGCCAGCGCGCGGAUGGAUAGGGCGGGCGAAGCGCGAAGGGGAUGGAUGUCUGAGCGGUUGAAAGAGUCGGUCUUGAAAACCGAAGUAUUUUUAGAAAUACCGGGGGUUCGAAUCCCUCUCCAUCCGCGUGAACAUAACAUGUAAUGUUGUUACGAAUGUAACUCCCGAAGGAUCGACCACUAUUCUAAAUAUAGUAAGGCGGAGAACUGUUGUUCAGUGGAGCGCCGGAGUGCGGAGGUUGUUCCCAUCAUUGAAGUCAGGGUGUGGGACUGAGCCUUCCGAAUGAGAAAGAAGAAAAGUGCUUAGUUUCGUUGGAAAAACCAACGCAAAUAUCAUAUUGACUUUCUCUCGCCCUACUUCUAAAGAUAGAUAGAAAGGGUUGGAGAGAAUUUCAGAAAGUCAUUCUCUCCUUUCUAAAGCUGCGCAAGGCGGCCCCCCCAGAACAAAGCCCACCCCUCUUUUCCCCCCUUUAAUGAAGGACCCUCGCCUCGCUUCCUAUUCAUUUGUGGGUCUGGACCCUAUUUUUUUUUUUCAAUUUCGAGAAGAAUGGGAAAUUUUUCUCGCAGACAACGGUGCUCUGGUCGAAAAUUUGGGGAUCAAUAAAAUAACAACACCCACCUAACCUAAUUAAUGUGGUGUGGAAGGGCAAGCGAUAGAAAAGUCCCUCGCGCGAACUACUACUACUAGAAAAUGGUGAGACCAUUAGUGAAAGAAGGACCAAACCAAGGAGGAUCCUCGAAUCCUGAUCAAGCCCCUGAAGCUGGAAGAUUGCGCAUCCGAUCAUCGAGCGGCGCAGGUACACUCUUUCCUUUUUUUUAUCCCACCUGAUGAUUCAACUGAUUUUUUUCAAGCAAUCGCAGCUACUUUCUUUCUCUUCCACUGCCUUCCCACGGACAACAUAAAGCACCAACAGCGUCCGAGAUUACUAGAUAGAGGAGAGACCUGUACUGAAAGUUGAAAGUAAGAAAGCUUAGUUAAAUGAAAGUUCUUUCAACAUUUGUAUCUGCCUUUCUCAUAAAGAGAACAGAACUUCCUCCCGUGUGGAAGUCUGUCUUUAUUCGCUGCUCCUGCUCGUCAAGUAGGCGCUUUAUGCUCUGCUCUUCCAGUUAAAGUCAAGCUCCGGGUUUUUGCUCUAGUCAAAGUUCUAUCUGGCUUUCCGCUGGGAAAGUAAGAGACGAGUAUAGUUGCGAACCUGGAAGCCUGCUGAAAAGGGCUUCUCUUUCUAGUUCGAGAAGUUUUAAAUAAAGCAAAAAGCUUUUUUCAGAUGAAUGGCUUGAUUCUACUUCUUUCACUUUCUUUAGCUAUUGUUCACUAGUCUAACAAAAUAAUAGUUAUAUAUAUAUAUAUAUUUCCUCUCUUUAUCUUAUCCUUACCUUAAUAAAGGAACUUAAUAACUAAACUUCCCCCUUGUCUUUAUCCUCUUGUUCUGAGCCUGCCACCUAUCGAGCCGAACAGAGCCUUUCGCCUUAGGCGCGAUAGCUUCACUCUUAACCCGCAUUAUCUGAGAAAAGCAUAGAAACAAUUCCCUCAUCCCGACUCAGCUUCUCUCUCCGAUACAGGAAAUCUAACAAUUCCUAUUCUUACUAACCUUUUUGCCUAGCGUCUUUCCGAUAUAUUGAAUUAUCAUCCCUAAUCUACGAUAGCGUGAUGCCACCAACAGUCGAUUUAUUAGACUGCUCCCCUUAAUUGAAUCUCCAGGCCUGCCAAAGACUGCCCACUUACAAAAAUGGCCUAAGCCUAUGCCAAUGGACUCAUGACAUCCAUGCACUGAGUCGUCAAAUGACGCACGUUAAGAAGACCCAAGCCUACAUGCACGGGCCCAUCCCACAAAGUCCUACAAAUGAAGACUCGGGCCUGUCAAGCCUGCUUUCCUCGAUCCAAGCCCGGUGAAAAAAAAAAGCAUAAGAAGAGUCCGAUAAUGGCCGGUCUUUAAAGGCCCUUAAGAAAGAGGCUUAAGUCAUCGAUUCCAAUCCGAUAACGCUUUUCUUUUUAUUGGUAUGCCGCUCCGCGUCCGCGAGCAAGGAGCGAGCUAAGUAAAUCUUACCUGAAAAUGAGUGAGAUUCGAUUCUUUUUCCUUUGUCCUUUUUGUUUUGUCAUUUUCUUUUCUCUAUGAUCCCAAUUAUUAUAUAAUAGAAACUAUAAGAAUCCCAAAACAUCACAUAAUACGUAAAAAAAAAAUAGAGUCUCAAUUUUUUUUUUUUCAAUUUCUAAACAACUAUCGUUUGUGAAUGUAGGUUGUGUCGGGGAUAUACUGUGGCUAGUAAGUCAUUUCGUUUGCAUUUUCUUCAACGAGACCGAAAACACAGCAAUGAUUUGUUUUAUGGACAGUUAUAUUAUUUCCAGCCCAAAUGAGGUAGUGCCUAAUGUCACCGGGAGCGAGUUGGUAGGGGGGCCUGAGAUCUUGAGAAUGGAUCAAGGAAAUCCUGAUGCUCCGCCAGCCAUUCCUCAUGCUGAACAGGCUAUGGGGGAUCUGGAUCUAGCCUUGCGAUUGGGGCCGCCGAGCCCAACAAAAGAGGCUCUCGAAAGAGAGCUUUCGACCUUUCUUUCUUCCUUUGGAAAUAGGGAAGUUAGAAGGGAUGUCUUGGAAGGGACAAUAAGGAAACUCGACUUGAACAGCGCGUCCCCAGAAAAGCUUUUUUUUGAGGAUCCGACAACUUAUGCAGGAACUUUCCAACAGACCGGUUGCUGCUUCCACAGCUAAGAAGGCUUUAUUGAAAGCUUUAAAAGAGUGGGAGAAAGGGGACGCAUGAGCGUUGGAUAAUGGAAAGAAGGUAGAAUUGCUCGGGACCCCUAGUGAUCGAUUCUUUUUCUUUUAUAUAGGUAGGGUUGGGCAGCGACUCUACUCCUUGAAGUGAAGAAUCGAAAGUCGUCGUUCGUUAGACAAGGCCCACGUGCUGUGCAUCUCAGGUGUUCUGCUCGUGGGGAGAGGGAUGCGGGAAAGUGGGGUCCUCUCACCUGUGCUCACUUCCGUUUUAGAAGUCAGAUUGGAUUUCCAAUUGGUGCUCAACAGAAGGGUUCCAAACCUCUGAAAGGCGAGGCAGAUUUAACGCUACGCCCUUCCCUUAGCGCCUCCCUCUAGGCGGGGCUCACAACCAAAGGAUGCACGGGGUGAAGUUGCCACCAUGAACUAAGGAUUGGAAGGGUUGAGGAUAGAGUUUCUUUUUCAUUUCCAGGGUAGUUGGCAAGAGCUAUAGCAGCUUACGAUGCAGUUGAUUCGGAAACAUACGCCAGGGCGGUUGGGUGGGGAGUCAGAUCAGGCCAACGGUCCUGCUCCGCUUUAUACUAAGAGAGUUUGGUUGGGUCUGACUCCGUUAUAGGGCUAGUACGCCGAGCAGCUUCGAAUUCUGCUGUGCCGGUGCACAAAGCAAGCACACAAGGACUGCGUAAAUCUUUGGUCUGUCUAUCAUUGCCCAUGUUGGGCUGACUCCUUUUUUUAGGCAAGAAGACCACUAGUUGAAUUAUUAAACUAUUAAGACUAACUGAAAAAAGGGUACUACUCUUCUUCCUCCACUACUGAUAUUGACUGACCUGUUGAUAGGAUAGCAGGGAAAGUUGAGAGUAUAUCCGGAGAAAGAAAAAAACCUUUUCAGGAUGAGACUACGAACCCUAAUGGAGCCAAUGAGAAAGCAGUUGCAGGCCAGUGUAGGCUUGCUCCGCACAGGUUACAUCUGGGCCUUAUAUUGAUAUUCUUUUCAAUUCAUUUGGAAAUUUCUUCGGUCCGGGGUACCGCGCAAUCCGUUUAGAUCUAUUUCAGUUGCCAAUGAAAUGGAAUACGGGGGACUCUCCGUCUAAGUGGUUAAUCCGACGAGUCAAUUCUCAAUGCGAUGCAUCCGUGAAAUGGGACGGAGAUCUGCCCGAACUUAGUCCAGUCCUAUUAAAGAUGGGGGCGAAUCAAGCAACUCUUAUAGAUAGAUGGGAUAGGAAGGAAGAACCACUGAUAGCAUUUGCAGCUGCUUCUUUCCGAUCGAUAUACAAGCAGUUGGGCGCGAAGCUUUCUUCGUGAAAAAGCUCGUCCUUGUCAAUAUAGGACUGUCUUUCAUUCUGCUUUUACUUAUUUUUUGGAAAUCUAUCAUUUUCCAAAUUUUUUCAUUGUCUUUAGUACGAUCUGGCUUCACACCUCUCGCCUAUCGGAACACCAACCCAAUCUUGAAAGCUGAAGUGGGUUUGGGGAAUGGAAGAACAAGAACAUCUUCUUUACCACCAAAAAUGGUAACAUAAGACCCUUCUUCACUCAUGCUUGUCAUCUGCUCGUGAAUACCGUCCAGUCAAGUCUUUGUUCUUUUAUUCUUAAAUAUGGGUGCUAACCAGAUUCCCCAUGUUAUAUGCGAGGUCAAUAAAAUUCUCCAGAGAGUGAGUUUCUGAUCAUAAUGACCACCUAAAGUUGGAUUUCCAGUUGUAGUUUUUAGUUUGGGGUGCCAAUAGUAGCAUAGUUGCUUAGUCGUCCUUCCUCUUACGUAUUACAAUAUAGGUGCUUUGAAUGCUGCCUUUAGCGGAAAACGGACUUAAUGGACAAAUAAGGGAUAGGCAAGAAUCUGUUCUUGAACUCUAGAGAACAGGCGGAAAGAGGUUCAUCAGAGUGAUAGGGAAAGCUUAUAGAGGGGGGGUCUUACUACGACAAGUGAAGCCAGGGUUCCCUUUGUUCGGUGUCCGGGGAAGAGAAAGGAAUCUAUUCGGGAAGCGCUUACCAGCCCCUUUACCGAUACCAAGGGGAAGCAGGAAUUAGACCAAUAGGGCACUGCUCUCCGCCUGUCGUAACAACAACAAAAGUCCAUACCGGAAUUUCAUUACCUUAUUCCUUAAACCCUAAAACGGAGACAUUGGUACAACAGGAGGCUCGAGAGACCUCGAGCGUAAUAUACGCUACCCUCGGAGAGACUUUAGCCACAUCUUAACCCGAAUGAGGCGAUCAAGAAAGUCGUGGGCCUCGUAGUACCCGCAUACGACAGCUCUGUGGAGCCUUUCGGGUCGAAAACCUGUUCGACGUCAGAACCGAUCUCAAAACCCUAAUAUCACCGUCUUCAGAGAAAGGACUUUCUCUAUAUCUAUAUCUAUGCAACUAGUUCUUUCACUUGCUUCCAAAUCCAUCCAUCUUACUUACUCAAAAGCUUUGAAUAUUCUACUCGAAAUCUUGCUUCUAGCUUUGGGCACCUCUGACAUAAACAGAAAUAGCGUAUAUACAAGGCUAGCCCUUUCUCUCAAGCGUCUUGGUAUUGGAUCCGCUCUUCUGUUAACAUGAACAUGAAUUAGAUUCUAUUCUAAUUCUUUAUUCUUAAGAGAAUCCCCCACCCGAACCAUUCUUAAGACCACCAAGCUCUCUCGAAUGAAUUCUACUCUUUCUGCUUUCGAGCUACACCGGGGGCAAAAUCUUUUCCCCACUAAGACGUGCAUCUUUAUGGCUAUAUCGUCCUGAAGACGGAUGCGACGGGAAGAAGUGGCAUUUGGAAGUGUUGCUGACUUAACAUUUAGGUUUCGGCAUAACAAAGCUUGCACUGUCUUUUCGCACUUAGGCGCACAGCGUGCCAUUGGUAAUGAUUCUACUACGGUGCCACAAAUUCGCAAGCUGAUCCUAAGUAAUCGUUGUUGUUCAUUGGAUUCCGGAGGAACUACUUCGUUAGGAUUGGGGAAUUGCUGCGAUUCUUCCUGAAUAGCCUGGAUUCUCCCGUCGAGAGUCACUUUGAAAGUAUUACCUAAACUCUUCCGACUGAAUAUGAUAAAGCCUAUAAAACAUAGAGCUACUAUCAUUUCUUCAUUAUAAAUUGAGAUCUUCUUCGAACUUGAUGCACAAAUAGAUAGAAUAGCAGCAAAUAGCAUCUUUCUAGCCUGCAUAUUCGUGGAACUCAAUCUCAUUUAGAAAGCCUGAUCUCUAUCUUUCAGCAACUGAACGGGAAGUGGUUUAAGAAUAAGAAAGGACUUUAGAAUCGGAUGCGCUCGCCCAGCGAGAAAGGCCCUGACCCUGCCAACCAAGUAUCAAAAAGAAAGAAGAGAAAGAAAGGAGAAGAGAACUUCGUAUUUUGGUAACUCUCUAGGAGUCAUCUUUAACCUUGAAUGCUAUUAAUAGAUUCUACAGCAAUAGUCCCUCGGACUCGGAAAGUAAUAACGAAAAUAGCUAACCCAAUAGCAGAUUCCGCAGCUGCCACCGUUGGAACCAAUGAAGCAAAUGAUUGACCCAUCAUAUCAUCCGAAGAAACAGAAAAUACCAAAAAGUUCGAAUUCACAGCUAAUAACAUUGAUUCAAUUGGCAUUGACAUAAUAGGAAUAUUUCGUCUAUUAAGGAGGAUUCCCCGAAUACCUGAAAUAGAGAUAAUCAUAGAAAAUGUGAAAUAUUUGAUAGGAUCCAUUUCGGGAACGUAGAAUGUAAGAGAAAUUCAAAUGUGAAACAAUAGGUGAGCUCUUCUACUUGAAAUAUCCAUUAAUUAUGGAUAUGGAAGAAAUAUUCUUUUUCAUUUUUUUAGUAACAAAAUAAAAGAAAAGUAGGACCAAACUGAGAGUUAGUAGCAUAAAAAAAGAUGGAUUUGUGAAUGAAAAAUAGAAGUUUCCAAUAGGAAAAUCCAUCAAUGGCACAAUCUCAAAUUGUUCAGGUGGGCCACUUAUUUCUAAUUGUGAAAAUGGGCCACUUAUUUCUAAUUGUUCAGGUGGGCUGGAGACGAGAUCUUUCACUAGAUCCACUUGUUCAGGUGGGCCACUUAGAUCUAAUUGUUCAGUUUGGUCACUUAUUUCUAAUUGUUCAGUUUGGUCGGGGUCGUCUGUACGCGCGUCUUUCUUUGGCUUUUUAAAGAUAUCCUCCGCCCGUCCCCCUAUACUGUAAUAAUAUUUCAAUGCGCGUAGUAUAUAGUCGCUCUCCCUCUCGUAACGGCCUCGUACAGGGAAACCUCUUUUGGCAGUCUCGAUAACAAUAGGCUCUCCUAAUUUCUCCUCUAUCUUCUCGAUAACUGGGCGAGGUUUAAGGACUGGAAAGCCCUUGGUCCCACAACUCUCAAUAAAAGUCGUGUAGUUAAAAGGUUCGGUCGAUUGAGAAGGACUGGCGGCGAAAUCUUCAUAAAUAGUAGACAGUCUUCCUUUAAAAAUAGAAGAGAAGGGUCUUUUACUUUUAUUGGGCAUUCUUGAUUGAUUGAGACAAAAAGAUUCCCUCAAUACAGCUUCACUCCGUCAAACCUGUACGAGUAGUGAAGAGGUAUAGAUUUAGUUGGUUGUUGACCAACGGAAAGCAUGGGAUCAAAAAAGGCAGAAUUUACGCAAUUUCUUUUCUUUUUUAAAUCUCUUUCUUUUUUUUCCCCAACGACAAAGGAACUUACGGGCGGGGCAUUUUCGGGGGCUAGCCCGCUUCCCACCAUUACUCAAUAGGGCAAUUCCUCGCACAUAAUUAAGGGAGCCAUUGAAAGGUGACUAAAACACCAGAAACGGGGACUACCCGAGCUAAUGAUAGAGGCAAGAACACUUUCCGGCCAAGUCCCAUUAAUUGAUCAUAACGAUAUCGUGGAAAUGCUGCACGGACCCAUAUAUAUAGGAACAGAAAAAGAAUCACCUUGAUACUAAACCAGAUCGAGCCCGGGAUCUUCUUGGAAAUGGGAAGAUCUAGGAUAGGCGGCCAACCUCCUGGAGAGAGCGAUGUGCAUAGACCAGGUGAGUAGGGAUGCAGCUCCGUGGACCGCUCGUCGGGCCUGAUAGGUGGUGGUAUCACACCCUUCUCAAAGGAACCGUACGUGACACUCUCGCGUCAUACGGCUCCGUCCCGGAAGCAGGACCUUCCCUUUCCUUUCCUUUGACCAACGGGCCCCCAAACCUUUCUUAUUUCGUGCCGAACCGGGUCUCCAUCUUCGAACUUCCCGUUCGAUGAGACCCCACCCCAGGUCUCGCUGUUUCCGUUUUCUAGGUCACGCCUUAACCUCGUUAGAAAGCGGAGUUGGCUAGCUGCCGGCAUAUCUUUUACGUUACCGGCCACAUAGUCCGCAGCGUCUUUCACUGCAUCGCAUUUGCCGGGGCUGAAUCCCCUUUCUUGAGCGAUCGCCUUCGCUCGUUGGCAGAACGCCUUGAUGCGUGCGUCUAGUUUGUUGGGGUGACACUCCGCCUCUUUAUACUCUUAGGAGGCGAGAAACUCCCGUUCCCUUCUCCUUCCUUACUCUUCCGAGGAUGGUUCAGGGGGAGCCGGUUCCGCCUCCGGCUGAGGAGGGAAAUUUCAAUCGAUAGGCGGUAGCUUCGACGAGCUGGGACGUGGAAGUGAAAACCCUAAACUUGAAACCCUACCCUUCUUUGCUACUCACUAUCUAAGGGGCAAAUCCGAAGUCGGUUCUCAAGGCCCGGAAGCUCGGGGAUUGAAUACCCCUAUGUUCCAAGUGACUAGCUUGGCUGGUGAUGCGUUCACCCACUUGCACGCUUCCUUGCAAGCACGAAAUCCUUAGUUCGCCCGCUACCACACGGGCCGGUGUACUCUUAUCGCUAACCCCGAGAGAGGCUAUACUCUAAGAGCCAACCGACUCAUUAUCCCUGGACGCAAGGAUUAAGAAAUAGCGAUGUAUCAGGGGCUGAGCGUACCUUCCGCUCAGGAACAAGAAAUGGAGCUAUUAAGUUAAGGUGCCGCUUUCCUUUUUCUAGCCCUUCUUUGGGUUCCCUAUCGAUGCGUGUAUGCCUUCGUCGAAGAAAGAGGGGAAUCACAAGAAAUUUUCAUACAACUAGGCCUAAUUCCAUCGAUGAAUCAUUCGAGAACGAAUUUUGCGAGACUAAUCUAAUCUUAUUCAACCUUAGAUGGGAAUUAGGGCGAAGCCUGGGGCGGUCUCUGCCUUCUUAACACGCGGCACACCAACUUGAAGUCUGAUUUGAAAAUCUCUCUCUACCUUCACAAAACUUCUCGCGCCCUUCUCGUAGUUUUGACUUGCUCUUAGGUAGGCUACCGUUGACCGGCUUCGCGAGACCAUUUCGGUCUACACACACAUGGGUGGCUAAGCGCUAUUGGGCGGAGCUUUCUCUCAAUCCAAGCUAACUAAUAGAAGAAAAGAGAAGAAAGGAAGAUCUUAUAAGGGACUCACCCCAUCUUUACAUAAGCUAUUUCUUGAACGGAAAAAAUAGAUGCUUUCAUGGACUACUUUGACUUUAGGGAUUUGCUUCAUCAUUAGCUAAAGAAGAGAGACAAGGGGGAAGCUCAGUCUAAUUGUCCGAAGUGAUUCUUUCUUGAUUGGAUGCCAGCUUUCUCUUAAUUCGUGCACUUACAUACAAAUCUAUAGGUAGUUCAUCUCCUUCUAAGAAAAAUAUCCAAAGUUUUCAUUUUUGAUCGAAUUCCGUCUAGUAAGCCUCGAGAUCUUACAGAUGCUGUUGAGAAUCGUCAUUAACCAAUCAUGUAUCGGACGCACCAUCCCUUGAAGUAAGUAAAGGGCGCAAAGAUGCGGAUUUGACCCGCACCCCCUUUCUUUUUCUUUUUUCGAUUUUUCGUUUUAGAAUAGAGAAAGAGUCGAAACUAAGGGUACGCUCUCUAGAAGAUUUGCUCGGAGCUUUUUGGUCGCCUGCUAUCUUAUCUUGAAACCUCUUUGCACAAAAAGAGACUGAGAUGACGAAGUGGAUGCGCCUUGAUUUCCUCCAACUCCUUACUUAAUGCCGCAAUGGAGUCCUCACCCCUGCCUUUAGAAGAGAAAGCCUUCAUACUAUAUUCGACUUGCAUGUGUUAAGCAUAUAACCUUUCAUCACAUUCAGUCGACUUUCAAUUCAAUCUCUGAGGAAGAGAAAGAUAUAGUUUAUAUACAGAAGAAACCUAGUUUUGAGUUCUAUUAAGGACCCGAAGAAGACAGGAGAACUGGGCAUUCACAAGACUGCUUUGAUUCUCAUCAUGAUACAUUCUUGUAGUAAGCGGGUGGUUGAUAAACACGUAUUAUUGGGGGGGGGCAGCAGGCAAUGGAUACCGUUCUCGCACCCGAGCCUGCAGUUGGUAGGUCAAAUCCCUCUGUCCAAGUGAUUGAGUUGAAGCUUUGGGCAUAGAGCGGAGCGAGCCCGGGGAGAGGAGUAGAGUCCAGCAACAUUGAGCCCCAAAAUAGAGUUUCUAUUCAAAUCCCUACUCAACACGGUGCCUUAAGGAGAAUCCGAAGCCGGUUGCUAGCGGAAGUAGCGCGACAAAGAGCAAAGCGGAGCAUUCACAAAGAAAUGGUGUAAGCAGAAGGGAAGGCGCAACGGUUAGCGACUGCCCGAGGAGUGAUCCCUCUCUUAUUUUCCCUUUUUUUAAGAUAAGAAAAGAGACAAUAAGCCCGUCAACAUUGAAGCUUCCGCUUUUGGCAGCUGUUAGGCAAGUGAUACCGUACGCCGCAAGUCCGCACCUAUAUAGUGAGGGUGCGUUAAGGCGAGUUGAUGAGCUAAUACGGCUGGCUUACUUUUCAUAUGUAUGUGGAUGUGGAGGGAACCUGGCGUUAAGCACUGGGGCCAGCCACAAAGGAAUAGGUUUGAAUGUUGAUAUAUACCGUCUUUCAGCUGACCUUUCCAAACCAUGCUUCGCAAUCAAGCUAGAAAAAGACUAAGCAAGUGCUGUCCUAAUGAAAUGGCGGAUAGUUUAGUAUAACAUUCAUUCCUGACCGCCGCUGCCUGCUUAAGACUAAAAGCUAGUAGUGAGACUUCUAUUCUUCCGCCCUAUCUAGUAAGAGCCUCUAAAGCUAUGUUUGGCGUAAUCAAUAUAAUAGUUGGGCUCGGCUUUACUGAAGAAGAAGGGGCGAAGUCUCAACUACCAGACUACUACUAUACCAAACGCACUCCACGAGUGGAUUAGUUGAGUGACUAGACUGAUACUCUAAACGAGACCAAUACUAUCAAAAAGAAAGUAGCAAAAAUCAUAAGAGAAGAAAAGCAAGUCAAGCAGUAUGCCUGGUUCACCAGGUUCUACCACUGCAGGGCCCAAUCAUAGUCAAAAGCGGAAAAGAGAGGAUUUGCAAGAAAAAGUCGAAUAGACUGACCUACGAGCAUAAGAAAGAAGAGGAAAUCGAAUUAUGUAUGAUGAGCUUGAGUCGAGUCACAAAAAGGGCUAUGAUGAGCUUGAGUCGAGUCACAAAAAAGGGUAUGAUGAGCUUGAGUCGAUUAUUUCCAAGAUCGAAUUCCAGUUUUUUCUUAUGUAGUGGAAACGCCCUACAAUCUGAAGUUUUACGCUUCAGGCAAGAAAUGUUCUUGGUGGAUGCAGGACUUGGGACCCCCAGAAUUUGUAUGCAAGAUGAGCUUACAGGGGUGCCAAUCAACCGAGCCACCAGGUUUGAGAAUAGGGUGGGAUUCCUGGAUCUAGUGGCCGGUGAAUCACUGAUCAAAGAGCAGAUUUUGGAGAGAUUCUUCAUCGAUCUAGUGGCCGGUGAAUCACUGAUCAAAGAGCGAGCAGCCGCCAGGUUUAAUGAUUUGGUGGGAUCUACAGAUGUAGUGGCUGGUGAACCGCUUCUUCUUCUUCCACGAAGAUUCAGACAAAACCGAGCUUGGAUGGAACUGAACAAGAUUGAGCGAACGAAGGCAAAGAUCAAAGGCUUUAUUAUUGAGAAAGUAAAAGGAGGUUAUUCAGUAGCCAUCGCAGGUUUCAUUACUUUUCUUCCAUUCCGCCGCAGAAGGAAAAGGAUAUUGAAUAAUCAAUUCACCGUUGAAAACAUUAACCCCAAAAAGAAGAAUAUUGUGGUCUUCUAACAAAAAAAGAAGAAUAUUCUGGUCUUUGAAGGAAUGAAAAAAAGGAGAGACUGGUAGAGCUCCUCUUUGUCAGCGGCAGCAUUAUCCCUUCUAUCUAUCAACCAUUUCAUUAUGGAACUUUCUCCCCACAACAAUCAUUUUGAAAAUAAUGUGCAAUUCAUAGCCCUCGAUGAUCGGGCAAAUGUUAUGGAAAAUUUCUGUGAUCAAGUAUCUAGAAACAUGGAUGCAACUGGUCUUCAGUUGCCACCAGCAUGGACGUCGGUAAGAGAGCUUGCCGAGCAUGUCUGGCAUGUUAAUGAUGAAGAACUUGUGACUAUUCCUUAUGUCAUCCAUCUCACAAAUGAACUGGCCCGUGAGGACUUUCAAAGUGGGUGUGUAUGGCAGGAAUUUGUUGAUGAGUUGGAAUUGAUUGUCCACAGUCCCACCUGAACAAUUUGAGAUUGUGCCAUUGAUGGAUUUUCCUAUUGGAAACUUCUAUUUUUCAUUCACAAAUCCAUCUUUUUUUAUGCUACUAACUCUCAGUUUGGUCCUACUUUUCUUUUAUUUUGUUACUAAAAAAAUGAAAAAGAAUAAAGAAAAUGGCAUGGGUUUGGGAGCCAAGCCGAAGCCUCCACCGCAGCUUCAACUGCAAAAAAAAUAAUUCGAAAGACCCCGAUCCUUAUUUUCGUUUUUUCUUUACUCUUUCUCAUUAUCACAGUAGUUUUGAUAAGAAGAAGAAGAAAAAAAAGUCUGAUUCUAUUUUACAUUAUGUGUUUCCUCCUUUCCCUUUUUAGUUGCCUUUUGAGAUUCUUCAUUAUGGACUUUUUUUGGCUUUUCUAGCACUCCCCACAGCCUUUAUCUUAUUUGUAUCGUCGAAUGAAAGUGAUAAUUCGACUAGAGAAUCAGGAAGUCUUCCCCGCCUGGAAUCUGAAUCGAGUUCGGAAUCACUCUAAACUUUUAGAAACGUUAUUGGCGCGGAGAAUGAGGCGGAAAUAUAUCGGCGUAUAAGACUCUUGGAGAAUGGUACGUACUAUAAUCUACCGCCUCAGAACACUCCGGGAGACUAUGCUGCCCUUGUUCGCGAAAAUGCGCCACAUUUAUCUAUCUUUAUCGCCGAAUUGAAAUUUUCUUUCUUUGAUCAAGAGUAUUUCGAACUUCAAGUAUUAGAGAGAAAGGGCCUUGUCCAAGACAAACUCCUUAACUUAAUGCUUGAAGAAGAGAAUCUUUCCUCUAUUAUUAUAUUAAUGAAUCCCCUUACUCAAACAUAAGAAAGGAGGCUUAUCACUUUCUUGAAGACAAGCUUCAGCCUGUUGGCGAUCCACGCCAUGCUUUUGAGCGAAAUCUUCUUGAGGGGAGUCUUCGCUUUUUUUUUACAGGAUUUGGAUCAACGGGGUAAAGAUUCCAGUGUUUACCAAGAUUUUUUGAAUUAUUUUCUCAAUUCUGAUUGAUUGCCUUUUUUGAUCCCAUGCUUUCCGUCGGUCAACAACCAACUAAAUCUAUACCUCUUCACUACUCGUACAGGCUUGACGGAGUGAAGCUGUAUUGAGGGAAUCUUUUUGUCUCAAUCAAUCAAGAAUGCCUCAACUGGAUAAAUUCACUUAUUUCACACAAUUCUUCUGGUCAUGCCUUUUCCUCUUUACUUUCUAUAUUCCUAUAUGCAAUGAUGGAGAUGGAGUACUUGGGAUCAGCAGAAUUCUAAAACUACGGAACCAACUGGUUUCACACCGGGAGAACAAGAUCCGGAGCAACGACCCCAACAGUUUGGAAGAUAUCUUGAGAAAAGGUUUUAGCACCGGUGUAUCCUAUAUGUACUCAAGUUUAUUCGAAGUAUCCCAAUGGUGUAACGCCGUCGACUUCUUGGGAAAAAGGAGGAAGAUGACUUUAAUCUCUUGUUUCGGAGAAAUAAGUGGCUCACGAGGAAUGGAAAGAAACAUAUUCUAUUUGAUCUCUAAGUCUGUACAUAGCAAUCCUGGGUGGGUCAUCACUUGUAGGAAUGACAUAAUGCUAAUCCAUGUUCCACACGGCCAAGGAAGCAUCGGUUUUUAAUCUCAUUAUGACUUGGUUGUUCGGAAGAGCAAUUAAUUCGAUCAGAAUAGUGGAAUGGAAGGCAGUAAAAGAAUGAAAUACUCCUUUCUUUUCCAAUCGCCCCGCGAAGACAGACGCUCGGAAAGGUUCUCGAGAUUCUCAAUCGCUCUUUUUAGUGGGGAGGAAUAGUGCGGGAAGGGGGCGAGACCAAGCCGAGCCACUAGUAGAGUAAGCCCUUCCCACGUGUCAAGUUGAAUAUAAAUAAAUGAAUGCAGCCUCAACCAGAGAGAUCAACCUGCGCCUUUGAGUUGAGGCCGCUGGCGGCGCAGAACGAACUAAUCCGCGACCAGCAAGUUUUCCGAAAGCGAACUGAAUGGAAUUGUUACUUUCCAAAAAUCUUGCUUCAAAGAAAUAAGGUCUAUUUUCCCACGUAGUUCGUCGGUCAAACCAACGAUUCUCUUCUCAAAGUAAUAGAGAGAGUCUUUUUCUAGUUAGACUUCUAUCAAUGGAAUGAAAGAACCAUCCCUUCCUAUUUCUUUGUUUGUCCUGUCAGAUAGAAAGAAAAUUAGACCCCAAAGAGCCCUUCUUUACUUUACUACUUUAGGGGGUGGGGGUGAAGGGGGGGUUUACAUAGAACCGAGGCAAAGUGGUUUAUGAUUGAAUCUCAGAGGCAUUCUUAUCAUUUGGUAGAUCCAAGUCCAUGGCCUAUUUCGGGUUCACUCGGAGCUUUGGCAACAACCGUAGGAGGUGUGAUGUACAUGCACUCAUUUCAAGGGGGUGCAACACUUCUCAGUUUGGGCCUCAUAUUUCUCCUAUAUACCAUGUUCGUAUGGUGGCGCGAUGUUCUACGUGAAUCCACGUUCGAAGGACAUCAUACCAAAGUCGUACAAUUAGGACCUCGAUAUGGUUUUAUUCUGUUUAUCGUAUCGGAGGUUAUGUUCUUUUUUGCUCUUUUUCGGGCUUCUUCUCAUUCUUCUUUGGCACCUACGGUAGAGAUCGGAGGUAUUUGGCCCCCAAAAGGGAUUGCGGUUUUAGAUCCUUGGGAAAUCCCUUUUCUUAAUACCCUUAUUCCCCUUUCAUCCGGAGCUGCCGUAACUUGGGCUCAUCAUGCUAUACUCGCGGGGAAGGAAAAACGAGCAGUUUACGCUUUAGUAGCUACCGUUUCACUGGCUCUAGUAUUCACAGGCUUUCAAGGAAUGGAAUAUUAUCAAGCACCCUUCACUAUUUCGGAUAGUAUUUAUGGUUCUACCUUUUUCUUAGCAACUGGCUUUCAUGGUUUUCAUGUGAUUAUAGGUACUAUUUUCUCGAUCAUAUGUGGUAUUCGCCAAUAUCUUGGUCAUCUGACCAAGGAGCAUCACGUUGGCUUUGAAGCAGCUGCAUGGUACUGGCAUUUUGUAGACGUGGUUCGGUUAUUCCUAUUUGUCUCUAUCUAUUGGUGGGGAGGUAUAUGAAGGAAGGAAUCAGUGGAUUGAGGAAUGAAAGCUCGAAGACAAAGAGAACCGGGCUUUUCCAAAGAAUUACUGCAGCUUUCCCACUCCCUUUGAUUAUCAUAUACAAAAAGGUCUCUUCCACUUUCCUACCAAAUCUCUCUCUAUUCUGGCACAUAAAUGAAGGGAUCGAAGAGAUUAUGGCAGAUCAUGUUCACCAAGAAAUGACCCGAAAUUGGAUCUUGGUCUAUUUGAGAUUGUUCCUUUUAAUCGUAAUCAAAGAUGUUUUCUUGUCUCUCGUUUCUUUUCUGAAAAAAAAAAAGAACCUAAUGGAUCGAACUCAUAUGCUGUACCUGGUCGUUUAAAUCAGAUCU
rnacentral:lncRNA from 1 species